rnacentral:rRNA from 1 species
AAGCCGUUCUCAGUUCGGAUCGGAGUCUGCAACCCGACUCCGUGAAGCUGGAUUCGCUAGUAAUCGCGGAUCAGCAUGCCGCGGUGAAUACGUUCCCGGGCCUUGUACACACCGCCCGUCACACCAUGGGAGCCGGUAAUACCCGAAGUCAGUAGUCCAACCUCGUGAGGACGCUGCCGAAGGUAGGAUUGGCGACUGGGGUGAAGUCGUAACAAGGUACC